AUUGAACGCUGGCGGCAGGCCUAACACAUGCAAGUCGAACGGUAACAGGAAGCAGCUUGCUGCUUUGCUGACGAGUGGCGGACGGGUGAGUAAUGUCUGUGAAACUGCCUGAUGGAGGGGGAUAACUACUGGAAACGGUAGCUAAUACCGCAUAACGUCGCAAGACCAAAGAGGGGGACCUUCGGGCCUCUUGCCAUCGGAUGUGCCCAGAUGGGAUUAGCUAGUAGGUGGGGUAACGGCUCACCUAGGCGACGAUCCCUAGCUGGUCUGAGAGGAUGACCAGCCACACUGGAACUGAGACACGGUCCAGACUCCUACGGGAGGCAGCAGUGGGGAAUAUUGCACAAUGGGCGCAAGCCUGAUGCAGCCAUGCCGCGUGUAUGAAGAAGGCCUUCGGGUUGUAAAGUACUUUCAGCGGGGAGGAAGGGAGUAAAGUUAAUACCUUUGCUCAUUGACGUUACCCGAAGAAGAAGCACCGGCUAACUCCGUG
rnacentral:rRNA from 1 species